CGUGUGCUCUGGAGACUGCAUCCCACGCAGGCAGCCCCCUUCUGUACAAGUAAAGUGGUCUCGCUGAGAAAUUUUCUAAGUGCUGGUUUCUCUUUGCGGGACCGGUUCGCCGCCCCCAAAUAUCCCAUUUGGAUCCCAUUCUGUUUCAGGAGAGGCUGGCGGUUACCUUUCUUGGGGAGACGCGUCCGACUGCUUCAUUGUGGGGGCCUCAGGAGCGGAGGAUCGGGUCCCGCCCGAGGUGACGCGUAAACCCGGACUCUCAGCAACGCGGGUAGGAAGGACCCUUGAAGUUCCGCGGCGACCACGUCGGCUGAAACCAGCAGCCCAGGACAAGUGGACCAGCCAGCAAGACCCAGACCAUCCAAACCGGCUGAUCCUACGACAGGACCCAGAUGCCAGUGAAAGUGACCACAGCCCUGCUCUAGUCACCUCGGGAGCUGACCAGUCUACGCACGGCCGAAGCUUGAGGAGACGCCAGCCCUGCUCUCGUCACCCCGGGAGCUGACCAGUCUACACACGGCCGAAGCUUCAUCAAGGAAGUAAAUGUAGUUAGAAAUCUUAAGCCCAGUAAUUUUCCUUGUCAUCUUAAUUGUUUUACUAUUAACCUGUCGCUUUGCUCAAUCCCCUCCUCUGGGCAAACAUCUCUUGUCCAUCCUAGGUACAAACAUGCUACUCUUCCCUUUGUUCUUGCUGCUCUCGCUAGAUCCAUGUCAGAAGGAGGGAUAUGCGGAGAGUUUAAUUUAACUAAUUGUUGCCUAAAAAUCGAUGACAAUGAGGAGGACGUC
rnacentral:antisense_RNA from 1 species